UUAAACGAGGUCAAGUAAACUAUAUCGUCAGUAAUAUUUUGACAACUAAUACUACAUGUAUUGUAGUAGGUGUCAGUAAGACACGUAACAUGGUGGCAGCGUGUUCUGAACUCACUCUCUGUGUCACGUAAGCUGUGUAUCAGUUGAACAUUAACUUUGUACAAGUUUGUCUACGAGUACACACGCCGUGCACUCGCGACCAAGUGCUACUAUCCGACAGUCGAAAAGUGACCUUCUACAGCUAUGGAUUCCUGUAUCUCCAGGGUGAAUUGCCAUGUGGCUUCCGGAAUCUGCUACAUCAACACUGAUCUCACAAGAUUACAAGGAGUGUUGUCGAGAUAGGCAUUGGACAAUUAAAGAGAAGAUUUCAUGUCCUGCAUGGAGAGAUUAGGCUGACACCUCAAAAAGCAUCAAAGGUUGUGAUUGUGUGUGCCAUGCUCCAUAAUAUCUGUAAACAAAGAAUCCCACUACCUCCUGGACAAGAUGGACAGAGACCACCUCCUCAGGUUGUUAAGCCGCCAGCAGACGGUGUCAGAUAUCGCCAACAAUUUGUCAAUCUUCACUUCUAGACAUGUUCCCUCUUCCUGUCAGUCACGGGAACUGGAAGUUGGACUGAGGCCGGAACAGGGACUGUACCCGUAGCUGGAUCAGGGACCAUGGCAUGUACAGGGACCGUGGCUGGGACCGACACUGGGACAUCCACAUCGAGACCAUCGCUCUCAUAUGGACUGAAACAAGACAUUACUAACACUGAAGUGAUCAGCAAACUUGUAUCUUCUUGUACAAGUACAAGAAUCUUGAAUGUCAUCAGAAUCUUAAGGAGACAGUUUAAAGAAUCAUUAUGAGUGAAAUGCCAAUGAUUUGUGAUAUCCAGAGGUGUGGUGCCCUUUUUCAUUAUAUGGUGUUGACAGUGUGGGCUUGUUGGAUAAUUUGGAGUUCAUUUCAAAGUUGCACCACUUCAAGCAAGCUCAUUGAUUUAUAUUCUAUAAUGAAAAUAAGUCUAUAUAUUUACACAAAAUUGAUUUUUUAGUUUCCUUGAAGGGACCACUAAUAACAUUUGCAGAGCUCAAAUCUUUUGGGGGAAACUACUGUGCUAAUGUGUGCCUUUAAGGUUGUAUAAUUUCAACAUUUCAACUAAGCCUUUCAUAAAAUAAUUUCAUUACAUUCAGUUAGGUACAUGGAUUUGUUUGGUAAUGUGCUGUAAAGAGUAAUGUACGUAUGUAAUAUUGUUCAUUUUGUCAUGAUAUGGUGCACAUAUUAAAUACAUGAACCAAAGAUCAAGCUUGAUAUCACCUUUGAUACAUUCUUAUUAUUCCAUAAUUUGGAAUAUUUGUUUUAAUGAUAUAAAUACCUCAGAUUAAUAAACUGCAACAUGGAUGUGUCGAUCCCAUUGUCUAAUCCACUUAUAGAUGCGUUAGAUUCACCAAGAAUUUAUAUGGCUGUUAUUUGACCCAAAAAUGAAAAAGAAAUAUUAUUCCUCAGAGAAAUUGUUUCUUCAAAAUGAUUUAACACUAUGUGUACUUAGAGCAUAUAUGAAGUAAUGGACUAUUUAUAAAUGUUACUGGCAAGUAUACAGAUAUCAUUAAAAAUUGUUGAAUUAUAUAAAAAUCUUUAUGAUGUUCACUUUUACGAGAGCACUUUCACACUAUUCAGUGUGGUGAACAAAUUAUGAUAUUGAUCAUAAUUGUAUUUUAUUACUUAGAUCUAAUUGAGAAACAUACUUGUUUCGAAUAAAAUGUGAAAAGUAUGACCAUGGGAAAAAGUAUUGUUUUUUGUUGGUAUUGAUGUGUUUCAAAAAUAAAUUACACUGCGUUACAUUUAAAGAUCAAGACAAAAUACUAUUUAUAAAGCUAUUCCAUGAGUAAUGUAUAGAAAGUAUUUUAAAUAUGAUUGUUACUUAUGCUCUUUUAACAUUAAGUUUCAACU
rnacentral:lncRNA from 1 species